rnacentral:rRNA from 1 species
UACGUAGGUGGCAAGCGUUGUCCGGAUUUACUGGGUGUAAAGGGCGUGUAGCCGGGCUGACAAGUCAGAUGUGAAAUCCGGGGGCUCAACCCCCGAACUGCAUUUGAAACUGUUGGUCUUGAGUAUCGGAGAGGCAGGCGGAAUUCCUAGUGUAGCGGUGAAAUGCGUAGAUAUUAGGAGGAACACCAGUGGCGAAGGCGGCUCUCUGGACUGUAACUGACACUGAGGCACGAAAGCGUGGGGAGCAAACAGG